UACGAAGGGGGCUAGCGUUGCUCGGAAUCACUGGGCGUAAAGGGUGCGUAGGUGGCGUGGUAAGUCGGGUGUGAAAUUUCGGAGCUUAACUCCGAAACUGCAUUCGAUACUGCCGUGCUUGAGGACUGGAGAGGAGACUGGAAUUUACGGUGUAGCAGUGAAAUGCGUAGAGAUCGUAAGGAAGACCAGUGGCGAAGGCGGGUCUCUGGACAGUUCCUGACACUGAGGCACGAAGGCCAGGGGAGCAAACGGG
rnacentral:rRNA from 1 species